GGAUCCAGACUUUGAUCCUGGCUCAGGACGAACGCUGGCGGCGUGCUUAACACAUGCAAGUCGAACGAUGAAGUUAUGACGGAGGCUUCGGCCGACUGAAUAAUGGAUUAGUGGCGGACGGGUGAGUAACGCGUGAGUAACCUGCCUUUCAGAGAGGAAUAACAUUUGGAAACGAAUGGUAAUACCACAUAACAUUACGUUCUCGCAUGGGGAUGUAAUCAAAGAUUUAUCGCUGAGAGAUGGACUCGCGUCCGAUUAGCUGGAUGGUGAGGUAACGGCCCACCAUGGCGACGAUCGGUAGCCGGACUGAGAGGUUGAACGGCCACAUUGGGACUGAGACACGGCCCAGACUCCUACGGGAGGCAGCAGUGGGGAAUAUUGCACAAUGGGGGAAACCCUGAUGCAGCAACGCCGCGUGAAGGAAGACGGUCUUCGGAUUGUAAACUUUUGUUCUUGGUGAAGAAGAAUGACGGUAGCCAAGGAGGAAGCCACGGCUAACUACGUGCCAGCAGCCGCGGUAAUACGUAGGUGGCAAGCGUUGUCCGGAAUUACUGGGUGUAAAGGGAGCGCAGGCGGGAAAUCAAGUUGGAUGUGAAAUGUCGGGGCUUAACCCCGGAACUGCAUCCAAAACUGAUAUUCUUGAGUGAAGUAGAGGUAGGCGGAAUUCCGAGUGUAGCGGUGAAAUGCGUAGAUAUUCGGAGGAACACCAGUGGCGAAGGCGGCCUACUGGGCUUUAACUGACGCUGAGGCUCGAAAGUGUGGGGAGCAAACAGGAUUAGAUACCCUGGUAGUCCACACUGUAAACGAUGAUUGCUAGGUGUGGGGGGUCUGACCCCCUCCGUGCCGGAGUUAACGCAAUAAGCAAUCCACCUGGGGAGUACGGCCGCAAGGUUGCAACUCAAAGGAAUUGACGG
rnacentral:rRNA from 1 species